rnacentral:tRNA from 1 species
GGCUCCAUGGCGCAAUGGUAGCGCGUCAGAUUCCAGUCGUCUGGGAUAUCCUGAAGGUUAGGUGUUCAAAUCACCUUGGGGUCA